rnacentral:rRNA from 1 species
AAGGGAGAGGAAUAAGUAGAAAUCUACCCUCGGAUCGGGGAUAGCGGCGGGAAACUGCCGGUAAUACCCGAUAACGUCUUUGGACCAAAGGUGUGAUUCCGUCUGAGGAUGAGUCUACUUCCUAUUAGCUAGUUGGCGGGGUAAUGGCCCACCAAGGCAACGAUGGGUAGCAGGUGUGAGAGCACGACCUGCCUCAUUGGGACUGAGACACUGCCCAGACACCUACGGGUGGCUGCAGUCGAGAAUCUUCGGCAAUGGACGAAAGUCUGACCGAGCGACGCCGCGUGCGGGAUGAAGGCCUUCGGGUUGUAAACCGCUGUCGGAGGGGAACAAGUGUACGGGGGUUCUCCCCUGUAUUUGAGUGAACCUAGGAGGAAGGGGAGGCUAAGCUCGUGCCAGCAGCCGCGGUAAGACGAGCUCCCCGAACGUUAUUCGGUAUCACUGGGCUUAAAGAGUUCGUAGGCGGUCUGGUAGGUGAGGUGUGAAAUCCCCCGGCUCAACCGGGGAACUGCGCUUCAAACCACCGGACUUGAGGGAGACAGAGGUGGGCGGAACAGAUGGUGGAGCGGUGAAAUGCGUUGA